rnacentral:rRNA from 1 species
GUCUACAGUCAUACCACCCUGGAUAUACCCUAUCUCAUCUGGUCUCAGAAGCUAAGCAGGGUUGGGCCUUGUUAGUACUUGGAUGGAAACAGAUCUUCAAAAGAGACUGCUCAGAGACAAACAGUUUGAAGACA